rnacentral:rRNA from 1 species
CCUACGGGAGGCAGCAGUGGGGAAUUGUUCACAAUGGGCGCAAGCCUGAUGACGCAACGCCGCGUGGGGGAUGAAGGUCUUCGGAUCGUAAACCCCUGUCGAAUGGGACGAAUAGCUUCCGGAUUAAUACCCCGGAGGAAUGACGGUACCGUUAAAGGAAGCCACGGCUAACUCUGUGCCAGCAGCCGCGGUAAUACAGAGGUGGCAAGCGUUGUUCGGAAUUACUGGGCGUAAAGGGCGCGUAGGCGGCCAUCUAAGUCAGACGUGAAAUCCCCCGGCUCAACCUGGGAACUGCGUCUGAUACUGGAAGGCUAGAGUUUGGGAGAGGGAUGUAGAAUUCCAGGUGUAGCGGUGAAAUGCGUAGAUAUCUGGAGGAAUACCGGUGGCGAAGGCGGCAUCCUGGACCAAUACUGACGCUGAGGCGCGAAAGCUAGGGGAGCAAACGGGGAUUAGAUACCCCCGGGUAGUCCCUAGCCCUAAACGAUAGAUACUUGUGUGGCGGGUAGUCGUACUCCUCGCCGUCGCCGACGACGUACGACAUUAAGUAGUUCCGUCCGUCGGGUAGGUACGGUCGGCGAGGCGUGUAACGUACGUUAAAGGAAGUUAGUUACGGCGUGAGACGUUGCCGACGGACGACGACGAGGGAGGAGG